AUUGAACGCUGGCGGCAUGCCUUACACAUGCAAGUCGAACGGCAGCACGGGUGCUUGCACCUGGUGGCGAGUGGCGAACGGGUGAGUAAUACAUCGGAACGUACCUUAUCGUGGGGGAUAACGCAGCGAAAGCUGUGCUAAUACCGCAUCCGCCCUGAGGGGGAAAGCGGGGGAUCGCAAGACCUCGUUCGAGUAGCGCGGCCGAUGCCUGAUUAGCUUGUUGGUGGGGUAAAAGCCCACCAAGGCGACGAUCAGUAGCUGGUCUGAGAGGACGAUCAGCCACACUGGGACUGAGACACGGCCCAGACUCCUACGGGAGGCAGCAGUGGGGAAUUUUGGACAAUGGGGGCAACCCUGAUCCAGCAAUGCCGCGUGAGUGAAGAAGGCCUUCGGGUUGUAAAGCUCUUUUGUCAGGGAAGAAACACCGGCUCUAACACAGUCCGGGAAUGACGGCACCUGAAGAAUAAGCACCGGCUAACUACGUGCCAGCCGCCGCAGUAACAC
rnacentral:rRNA from 1 species